rnacentral:rRNA from 1 species
GAUGAACGCUGGCGGCGUGCCUAAUACAUGCGAGUCGAGCGAACAGAUGAGGAGCUUGCUCCUCUGACGUUAGCGGCGGACGGGUGAGUAACACGUGGAUAACCUACCUAUAAGACUGGGAUAACUUCGGGAAACCGGAGCUAGUACCGGAUAAUAUAUUGAACCGCAUGGUUCAAUAGUGAAAGACGGUUUUGCUGUCACUUAUAGAUGGAUCCGCGCCGCAUUAGCUAGUUGGUAAGGUAACGGCUUACCAAGGCAACGAUGCGUAGCCGACCUGAGAGGGUGAUCGGCCACACUGGAACUGAGACACGGUCCAGACUCCUACGGGAGGCAGCAGUAGGGAAUCUUCCGCAAUGGGCGAAAGCCUGACGGAGCAACGCCGCGUGAGUGAUGAAGGUCUUCGGAUCGUAAAACUCUGUUAUUAGGGAAGAACAAAUGUGUAAGUAACUAUGCACGUCUUGACGGUACCUAAUCAGAAAGCCACGGCUAACUACGUG